AUUGAACGCUGGCGGCAGGCCUAACACAUGCAAGUCGAGCGGAUGAAGGGAGCUUGCUCCUGGAUUCAGCGGCGGACGGGUGAGUAAUGCCUAGGAAUCUGCCUGGUAGUGGGGGAUAACGUCCGGAAACGGGCGCUAAUACCGCAUACGUCCCGAGGGAGAAAGUGGGGGAUCUUCGGACCUCACGCUAUCAGAUGAGCCUAGGUCGGAUUAGCUAGUUGGUGGGGUAAAGGCCUACCAAGGCGACGAUCCGUAACUGGUCUGAGAGGAUGAUCAGUCACACUGGAACUGAGACACGGUCCAGACUCCUACGGGAGGCAGCAGUGGGGAAUAUUGGACAAUGGGCGAAAGCCUGAUCCAGCCAUGCCGCGUGUGUGAAGAAGGUCUUCGGAUUGUAAAGCGCUUUAAGUUGGGAGGAAGGGCAGUAAGUUAAUACCUUGCUGUUUUGACGUUACCAACAGAAUAAGCACCGGCUAACUUCGUG
rnacentral:rRNA from 1 species